GCGACCUCAGCUCAGGCGGGGCCACCCGCUGAGUUUAAGCAUAUCUAUAAA
rnacentral:rRNA from 1 species